UACGAAGGGGGCGAGCGUUGUUCGGAAUUACUGGGCGUAAAGGGCGCGCAGGCGGCCUUAGAAGUCAGAUGUGAAAGCCCCGGGCUCAACCUGGGAAUGGCAUUUGACACUCUGAGGCUGGAGUACGGGAGAGGAGAGUGGAAUUCCCAGUGUAGAGGUGAAAUUCGUAGAUAUUGGGAAGAACACCGGUGGCGAAGGCGGCUACUCUGGACCGUAACUGACGCUGAGGCGCGAAAGCGUGGGGAGCAAACAGG
rnacentral:rRNA from 1 species